UUGAUCCUGGCUCAGGACGAACGCUGGCGGCGUGCCUAAUACAUGCAAGUCGAGCGAACCACUUCGGUGGUUAGCGGCGGACGGGUGAGUAACACGUGGGCAACCUGCCUGUAAGACUGGGAUAACUUCGGGAAACCGGAGCUAAUACCGGAUAAUCCUUUUCCUCUCAUGAGGRAAAGCUGAAAGACGGUUUCGGCUGUCACUUACAGAUGGGCCCGCGGCGCAUUAGCUAGUUGGUGAGGUAACGGCUCACCAAGGCGACGAUGCGUAGCCGACCUGAGAGGGUGAUCGGCCACACUGGGACUGAGACACGGCCCAGACUCCUACGGGAGGCAGCAGUAGGGAAUCUUCCACAAUGGACGAAAGUCUGAUGGAGCAACGCCGCGUGAGCGAUGAAGGCCUUCGGGUCGUAAAGC
rnacentral:rRNA from 1 species